ACCCGGAGAAGAAGCCCCGGCUAACUUCGUGCCAGCAGCCGCGGUAAUACGAAGGGGGCUAGCGUUGCUCGGAAUUACUGGGCGUAAAGGGAGCGUAGGCGGACAUUUAAGUCAGGGGUGAAAUCCCGGGGCUCAACCUCGGAAUUGCCUUUGAUACUGGGUGUCUUGAGUAUGAGAGAGGUGUGUGGAACUCCGAGUGUAGAGGUGAAAUUCGUAGAUAUUCGGAAGAACACCAGUGGCGAAGGCGACACACUGGCUCAUUACUGACGCUGAGGCUCGAAAGCGUGGGGAGCAAACAGGAUUAGAUACCCUGGUAGUCCACGCCGUAAACGAUGAUUGCUAGUUGUCGGGAUGCAUGCAUUUCGGUGACGCAGCUAACGCA
rnacentral:rRNA from 1 species